rnacentral:rRNA from 1 species
GACGAACGCUGGCGGCGUGCUUAACACAUGCAAGUCGAACGAAGUGGCGAACGGGUGAGUAAUACGUGAGUAACCUGCCCUCCUUUUUGGGAUAAGCCUUGGAAACGGGGUCUAAUACCGGAUAAAGGGUGAUGGGCUCGCGGCCUAUCGGCUUGUUGGUGGGGUGAUGGCCUACCAAGGGGGUGACGGGUACCAGGCCUGAGAGGGUGACUGGCCACGUUGGGACUGAGAGACGGCGCAGACUCGUAGGGGGGGCGACAGUGGGGGAUUUGGCAAAAUGGGGGAGAGGCUGCGGCGGCUAAGCGACGUGGGGGUUGAAGGCUUUAGGGUUGUAUACCUGUGUCGAUAUCGAACGGGUAGGUGGAGAAGAAGCGACGGCUAACUACGUGCCAGCAGCCGCGGUAAUAC